rnacentral:tRNA from 1 species
CGGGACGUGGCGCAGUUUGGUAGCGCGCUUGCUUUGGGAGCAAGAUGUCGCAGGUUCGAAUCCUGUCGUCCCGA